UUCCAAAGUAGUUCGAGCUCCGGUACAGGGUAUGCCGGCGUGUCUCAGAGCAUUGAUAGCAUGUGCAAUGGCUGUUGAAACUGCUACUACUAUCACACUAGGGCAUCCUACAAUACUUCAUGCCAGUCACCAGGUCACUCAGCUGAUAAUAAAUAUCACCAUACAACACAUGACAGCCCAGCGCUUCAGUGGUUAUGAGAUUCUUUUUUUUAAAUACCCAGAAUCUGUCUUUUGGAUUAAACAAGGUUUAGAGAAAGAUCAAAAUGAUCUGUUCUCUAAAGAGGGGAGAAUAGGCAUACUUGAAGAAUAGGCAUACUUGAAGCAAGCGGAUUUAUUUUCAUCAGUCAGGCACAUAGCAAGCACCAUUCAAUUCCUCAUGAAUUCAUUUUAUAUUAGGAAUCUUAGGCAGCAUGUACAGUCUUUUGUAAGAUCGUGUGAACGCUGCUCUUUUUACACACUUACAGAUUGAUUUUAUUCAUGUAUCCAAAAUUGGUAAGAAACAGCAAUACUUACUGGUCAUAGUUAAUCAGUUUAGUAGAUGGCAUGAUGCCUUUGUGACAUCUAGGGAAGAUGCUAGUGAAGAUUAUUGUUACUGAAAUUAUUCCCAGGUAUGGCUGCCCUCUGCAGAUUGGCUCUGAUAAUGGCCCGGUAUUUGCAAGUAGGGUUGCCCAGGA
rnacentral:lncRNA from 1 species